AAUUGACACGGUUAAAUUGUGGAUGAACAUGGAUGUAAUGUUUUUGUUUUCCUUUUCAUUUUAUGUUUAAAUAAGUUUUUUAUUGUGAAAAAGUGUUUUGUUUGAGUGAUUGAACUGAUGGCGCUUUAAAUAAAUUGGAUGUUAUUGUAUAGAAUUCGAAGUAAUUAAUUCAGCGAAGGAGUGCCAUAAAAUUCCACCGUACAAUUUACUUUUGGAAGGUGAUCGGAUAUCAGUACGAUGUAAUAUAAGGAAAAUAUUCAACAAAUGGACAAUAUGGAAUGA